rnacentral:rRNA from 1 species
AUUGAACGCUGGCGGCAGGCCUAACACAUGCAAGUCGAACGGUAACAGGAAGAAUCUUGCUUCUUUGCUGACGAGUGGCGGACGGGUGAGUAAUGUCUGGGAAACUGCCUGAUGGAGGGGGAUAACUACUGGAAACGGUAGCUAAUACCGCAUAACGUCGCAAGACCAAAAAGGGGGACCUUCGGGCCUCUUGCCAUCGGAUGUGCCCAGAUGGGAUUAGCUAGUAGGUGGGGUAACGGCUCACCUAGGCGACGAUCCCUAGCUGGUCUGAGAGGAUGACCACACACCUUGGAACUGAGACACGGCCCAGACUCCUACGGGAGGCAGCAGUGGGGAAUAUUGCACAAUGGGCGCAAGCCUGAUGCAGCCAUGCCGCGUGUAUGAAGAAGGCCUUCGGGUUGUAAAGUACUUUCAGCGGGGAGGAAGGGAGUAAAGUUAAUACCUUUGCUCAUUGACGUUACCCGCAGAAGAAGCACCGGCUAACUCCGUG